GCUUGUCUAGCUCAGUUGGUAGAGUGCAAGGCACUUAACCUUGAGGUUGUGGGUUCAAGCCCCACCAUGGGUG
rnacentral:tRNA from 1 species